rnacentral:lncRNA from 1 species
CAUUCUCCAAAUCCAUUGAGAGGAAGGGAGAAAGGGAGAGAGGGAGAGAGGUAUCUCUAAAGAAGUGAUGAAUUAAGAUAGGUGGUGGAUUUAUGUUUGCAGGAGAGAUGGCACUAAUUGUUCUACAUCUAUUAGCAAUUGUUGUCAUCUCUCUUGUGACCAAAAGCUCUACACGACUUCUACGACUUUGAUCUUUCUCUACAACAUUUGUGGUUUUUUUUUUCCCACGACAUGAUUUUUAUCUUAUGGUUGUAGAUUAAUUAUCUGAAUAAUAUAUUAUCAAUUACUUAAGCUUGACUUUAUCAAGAUAUGAUUGUUUUUGCUAGGCAUCUAUUGCAGACACCUUAUAUUGUUAAUUAAAAUAGGCAUAUCGUGAUUAUGAUAAUCUGAUGAUCUAACCACACUAAAACGUGGAUUAAAAAAAAUCGUUCUAUUUGGAACUGUAAAUAAAAUAAAUUCGUAUAAUUUGUUAACUAUGAUCAAUAUUAUACAGUAAGGAAGACUAAGAAUGUAACAGACUUAGAGAGAGAGAGAGAGAAAGAACUUAGAGAGAAGAUGAAUAUCUCUGAUAUAUUUCUUAACUUCCAAGUAAUACAGUGUUGAGGUAUUUAUAGUCUUACACUUACACAGCUAACUUCCUUAACUAACUUCUUCUCUAAUCUAAUUACAAGUGGCAACAUCUUAUACACCAAUAUCUCUAUUCUAUCAUCCCCCCGCAAACACAUGAUUCGAUGCUCGAAGCAUGAGGUUGGUACAGUGAGUACGAAACAGAGGAGAACUCAACCCUUUAGUCAAAAUAUCAGCAAAUUGCUCUUUAGAGGACACAAACUGAAGAGAAAGUUGUCUUGGCAACGCGUUCUCGCACAAAAUGAACAUCAACCUCUAUGUGCUUAGUACGUUGAUGUUGAACCGGAUUAAAAGCCAAAGCAAUGGUGGACAAAUUAUCACAAAAUAAAACCGGAGGUGAUGUAAGAGGAACCUGCAGAAAGACUAACAGUUGCUUAAUCCAGUCUAAUUCAGCGGAAGUAGAGGACAAGGCUCGAUAUUCAGCCUCUGUGGAUGAGCGAGAAACUGUCAAUUGUUUCUUUGAAGACCAGGAUAUAGGAUUGUUUCCUAAAAACACAGCCAUGCCAGUGGUAGAACGCCUAUCAUUAGGGUCACCUGCCCAAUUAGCAUCACUAAAGGCUUUUAAUUGCAGUGGUCCUUGUGAAUAAGUGAGGCCAUGAUGAAUGGUACCCUUUAAGUACCUCAAAAUGCGUUUGACAGCAGUGAAAUGAGCAAUCAUAGGCUGUUGCAUGAAUUGACAUACUUGAUUGACAGAAAAUGCUAUAUCUGGCCUUGUAAAUGUGAGGUACUGCAAUGCACCGACUACACUCCUGUACAACGUUGGAUUGGUAUAAGGAGCACCAUCAUCUUUGAGAAGCCGGUUAUAGGGCAAACAGGGAGUCUCACAUGACUUGGACUCAAGCAUCUCAGUUUUAGUAAGGAGAUCCAAAAUAUAUUUGGAUUGAGACAAACAUAAGCCAUGUGCAGUGCGAGAGAUUUGAAUGCCCAGAAAGAAAUGCAGAUCCCCCAGAUCCUUGAUAUCAAAUUCCUUGGUUAAAGCACUAAUAACCUGUUGCAUAGCUGCAUCUGCAUUCCCUGUGAUAAUAAUAUCGUCCACAUAAAGCAGCAAGAUGACAAUACCAGAGUCAACUGUCUUGACAAACAGAGAGGAGUCAGAAUAAGUGUGUUGAAAACCCAAAAGAGGCAAGAACUUGGUAAAUCGGUCAUUCCAAGCUCGAGGGGCUUGCUUAAGUCCAUAUAGGGACUUGUGCAACUUGCAAACAAGGUGAGAAGUAGUGACAUCAUCAAAACCAGGAGGCUGGGUCAUAUACACCUCUUCAUCCAAAAUGCCAUGUAAAAAGGCAUUCUUGACAUCUAGUUGCCUAAGGGGCUAAUGAAAUUGAGCUGCCAAAGCCAAUACUAGGCGAACCGUGGUAGGUUUAACCACAGGACUGAAGGUUUCCCCAUAAUCAAGACCCGGUUCUUGACUAAACCCUUUAGCAACAAGCCGAGCUUUAUGGCGAGCAAUAGUGCCAUCAGAAUGUUUCUUGAUCUUGAAUAUCCAUUUGCAACCGACCAAGUUCUUUGUAGAAGGUAAUACCACCAAACUCCAAGUACCUUGUUUAUGUAAAGCACUGAUCUCCUCUUGCAUAGCUUUCAACCAAGUAGGAUCCUUCAUUGCUGUUUUAUAAGAAGUUGGUUCAAUAAGGGACAAAUCAGUGCAGUCAGACUCCUGAAUAGUAGCUAAUAAAGCUUUGGUCUUGAUAAUACCACUUUUGCUCCGAGUUUGCAUAGGAUGCAAAUUGAGGGGUGGAACCUCCAACACCACUUGCAAAGUAUCAGGACCAAAGGACACUGCUGGAGAAGCAUCAGAACCAGGGACAAGUGCCACAGGGACAGGGACAGGGACUAGAGAAUGAGAAGUGGAAGAACCAGUAAUGGAUGGAACAGAUAGGGGUGAAGAAGGAAUAUGAGAGAUGGAUAUGGGAGAAGGAGCAGGUGAGGAUGAGGAGGCAGGAUUGGUAUGAGAUGAUGGUGAUCGAAAUGAUGAAUGAGACAUAGGUAACACAACAUUGUCAUUAGAAAUCACAGGUGCGGGAAGUGUGAAAGUAGGAACUGAAGAAGAGUUAUAUGAGUUUGUAGAGUGGACCAACACAGUUGUGUAAGGAAAUUGAUCCUCAUCAAACACAACAUGUCUCGAAAUAUAAACUCGCUGUUUAGAAACCUCAUAACAUAUAUACCCUUUAUAUUUGGUAGCAUAACCCAGAAAAAUACACUUGGUGGUCUUGGCUUGUAAUUUAGUAGAAUUAUAAGGCUUUAACAAAGGAUAACAUGCACACCAAAAAAUUCGGAGAUGAGAGAUAACAGGAAGAUGACCAAACAAAAGUUCAAAAGGAGAUUUAUGUCCUAGCACAGAAGAGGGCAUUCGAUUAAUGAGGUAGACAGCUGUUUGACAAGCAUACGACCAAAAACUAGCAGGUAACCUAGCUGUUUGUAAUAGGGUCACAGUAGUUUCAAUAACAUGCCUAUGCUUUCGCUCGGCUAGACCAUUUUGCUCGGGUGUAUGUGGGCAAGAAAGUUGAUGAGUAAUUCCCUUAUCAAGAAGAAAGGACUGAAAAGCCUUACUAACAUACUCACCCCCUCCAUCACUCUGUAAGGUUUGAAUAGCAGUUGAAAACUGAGUAAGAACAAAUUAAUAAAAUGCAACAAAAGUAGCAAAGACAUCAGAUUUGUUGAUCAAAGGAAACAGCCAACAAUGUCUUGUAUAUUCAUCGAUAAAGGUCUCAUAAUAUCUGUAACCAUCAAUGGAAAUAGAAGAAGCUGGACCCCAAAGAUCACUAUGAAUAACAGCAAAAGGUUUUACAGACUUAUUGGUACUUAGGGAAAAGGGAAGUUUACAAAACUUGCUCUCCAAACAGCUAGAGCACAUUACAGGUAAUGAAGACUUGGAACAAGGAAUAUUAGCUUGCUUUAGCAUCAAAGAACCAAUGUUAUUAGAUGGGUGACCUAGUCUGUUAUGCCAGGUUGUAGAAUGAACAUGCUGACCAAGGAAUGCUUUAGCUGGAAAUGGAGCUGAAUGUGUAGAAUGAGAUGUGGCAGAAAGACAAGGGAUGGGAUAGAGGCCAUUACUGCAUUUUCCCUUGUAAAUGAUCCUCCCUGUGGCCUUGUCCUGAAUCCAGAAGCAGAAAGCAUCAAAAAUUAGCCAGCAGUUAUUAUCUAAACAGAUUCGAUGCACAGAUAACAAGUUGUGUGUCAAUUUCGGAACAUAAAGCACAGAAUUGAGCUUAAUUGGAUGCACAGAAUUCAAUUUGGAAACAUUGAGAACUGUGCUACCAAUAUGAGACACAGGCAAACCUUCACCAUUGGCAGUUUGAAUAGUCUCAGAUGUAGGAUAUGGCGAUGCCAAAGAGAGGUUACUGAGAUCGGCAGUCAUGUGAUUAGUGGCUCCAGAGUCAGUGAUCCACACUUGAGGAUCGGAAUAAGAAGGAGACGGUGAAGAUGGUGACUGAGUCAUCACAGUAUGUAAUGCUUGUGGAGAUUGUUGAUGAGGAUGAAAAUUUUGAGAUUGCAUUGAUGAAUGCUGAAAUGGAGCAUUAUAGCUUGGAGCACCAUAUGUGGAUGGGUGCACUUGAGAAGGAUAGAACUGUCGGGUAGGACCACCAAAAUUAGGACCCUUGUCAUUGAAAAAACAGUACCAUGUGCUGUGAUUGUGCUUGCCACAUAUUUGACAUGGAGCUUUAUCAGGAGGUUUAGACUGGCAAUAUAGAGCAGUGUGUCCUUCAACAUUACACGUUUGACAAGUAGGCAGCAAUGGUGCACUUGGAUGACCAAAAUAUGGUACUGGUGAUUGACCAAGUAUUCCUGGACUUGGUGUAGGGAGCACAUGAGUUUGAGUAUACUGUUUGGGUGAAUAGAACCAAGCCCCUUGAUGAAACUUGCCUUUCCCUUUGUUUUUAUUCCCAUUAAACAGCUUGUAACCUCCAGAAAAGAAUUGAGACUGCCCAGAUGCAAGAUUAGGUGAGUGAUUCUUGCCAGAAUGAGAGACAGUAUUAGCAACCAUGGCAGUGAUAUAAGGUGCAGUUGUGGAAGUUUCGACAAUGACCUCUUCAGCAAGCAACUGAGAUCGAAACUCCUUAAGAGAGAUCACAUUCUCACGACCCCGAAUAACACAGCGAAAAGUGUUAUAUUCAGAAGGUAACCCAUUGAGAGCAAGAAUAACUAUAUCCUCAUCCGCAAAAUAAACCCCAGCAGCAGAUAAGUAAUCUCUAGCCUCUUUAAUUCUAUAAAGAUACUGAGACACCGAAUCAGACCCUUUCUUUAUCGUCUGAAGAUUUGACUUCAUUUGAAAAAUGCUAGUCUUAGACACUGUAGAGAACUGUUCUUUCAGACGAAUCCAAAGAUCCUGAGAACUCUUACUACCAAUAGCACAAGACAACGCAACAGGAGACAAAGUGGCUGUGAUCAAUUGCAUUAUAGCCCGAUCAUGCAUUUUCCACACCACAAAUGCAUCGGAUUCAGCAGAAGUACAAGAGCCAGAGUCAGUAGGAGAAACUGCAAAUUGAAGUGGACAAGGGUGCGAGCCAUCAACAAACCCCAUAAUACCAUUGCUUUCCAACAAAAGUUGUAUCUGAAAAUUCCAAUUGAGAUAAUUGGAGUCAUCCAAUUUGACAUUAACCGAAGUCGAGAUUGUGGAGAUUAAAGCAGUAAUCAGAGAUUGCAAAAUUUGAAGUUGCGUUGCAGUCACCAUUGAAAUUUCGUCUGAAAAACUCUCAGAGGAAUAAUAGCAAACAGUUGAUAUGCAAGACGGAAGGAAGCAGAAAAGAUGAUCGAAGAAAGAUCACGACCACCCAAGAAACCUAGAAAUCCAAAUUAGAGGAAGACGAAGAGAAUCAGAGAUCAGAAAAAACACAAAUCAAGAAGAACGAAUACACCUUCAAUCGGAGCGGAAGCAGAGGAUCGAAGAUUAUGCGCAGGCAACAAUGGCAAUUGAUACCAUGUUAACUAUGAUCAAUAUUAUACAGUAAGGAAGACUAAGAAUGUAACAGACUUAGAGAGAGAGAGAGAGAGAGAGAGAGAAAGAACUUAGAGAGAAGAUGAAUAUCUCUGAUAUAUUUCUUAACUUCCAAGUAAUACAGUGUUGAGGUAUUUAUAGUCUUACACUUACACAGCUAACUUCCUUAACUAACUUCUUCUCUAAUCUAAUUACAAGUGGCAACAUCUUAUACACCAAUAUCUCUAUUCUAUCAUAAUUAGAUGAUGGAAUUGCAUGAUGAUCUCAUAUAUAUUUAAGUUUCGUCAAUCAUUCAGACUACAUCAAGAGAUUAGGUCAGUAACUUUUAUAUAUAUUUAUAAAUAAAUCUGUACUAAAUAUAUGUGUUAUAUAUUCUGUGUCCCUUAUCCAUGACCAUGAGGCUUUAUUUUUUGUGAGAGCGAAAUUUGAAGUUAAUAUGUUUUUACCUUAUGAUCCCAUAGCUAGCUAGCUAAUAUAAUUUGUGAAUUAUAGUAUUUACAGAACUAGUACCCACUUUAUUAAAAGAAACAAGGAAAAUUGAAGAAAUACUUUACUGGCUCUUUCAUGCCUCUAUAUAAUGCUGCAUCAUAAGCAUUUCGGAGAAGAGAUCUAGCCAGCGGAUCGAAAAACAGUACUAAAAGCGAUCGGAAUAUCAAAGCGUAGGGACUUCGGUCGUAGGUGAGAUGCAGCCGAAUGCCUUGUAUAUUGGGUUGCUUCGGUUUCAAGCUGUAUAUAUAUAGCUAGCCAAUUCGUGGCACCGAGCUUCAUCUGUCCUCGACUGAAGCCUCUCAAGCUUUGUUUCCACAGAAAAGCAACCCAUCUUUAAUUUCUUUGCAAGCUUGGAGAAUGAUCAGGUGUAGUAUUAUUUUACCCUUUUUUUGGCUGUAUUUUGUUGUCUGUUUUGAGUUGUGGCUUCAUACGUAUAUUUUUGUACUAUAAGAUUUUGUUUCAGAACUAAACCUAUGUUCUUGGAUCAAUGGAUCAUGGUAAAUGCUUAUACGCAUGUGCUAGGGAUCGAAAGACAGAAAGUAUGUGUCUGUAAAAUGUGCCGAAAAAUACAAGAAAAAGGCACCAAAAAAAAAAGAAAAAGAAAAAAAAGAGAGUACCUAGCAAAUGUUUUUCCAAGAUCCAGAAGUAAUGCACAUUUGUUUUCCCUCUCCUACCUAGAUCCGGCCACCUACGACGUCUACUUCUACAUAGGCAACGGAGAAACGCAUGGCCUGGUCGGCAGGGGUGUUGAUCAUUAGCUAGCUAGUGAAGGACUCGAACACAUGAUUUCUUCUGAGAAGGGUAUAUUUGUCAAGAUGAAGGCUGAAGGAUGACGAGCUAAUUGGAGAUCUUCUGUUCACAAGGUUCACCGCAAGUUUAGUCAUUUUACAUGUCAUUGCAGUAUUAAUUAGAACAUAGUAAUCAUCGUAAGCCUGCAACUGGUGUUUUUAUCUUGUGCUAAAUAUUCAAGCCAGCUAUGUUUGGAGAUAGCAACAAAUUAGCCUAUUUUCUCUUAGUUUAAUUGAUUUGACUUUAAUUUUACUGGUCCAGAAUAUUAUUUAACUUAUAUAUAUUUGUGUGUAUGUAUAUAUUGUUAAACAAUUAUCUUUUCUUUCCAGUGAUGUGCUCCAUAUAUUCAAUCAACUAAUGAUCCCUGAAGGCAUAAUUUCUUGCAUAGCAAAUGAUUCAAUUAAAUAAUGAUCCAAUGUGGGGUAUAAAUGAUUUCAUGAUAUAUGCUUUUAGGAGUUUCUUUUUCUAGGGUUGAGAGAUUCUCCCUCUGUAGAGCACUUUAAGGCCUCAUUUAGCACGUUGUAUAAAGUAUUGGAUAUGACUAAUAGUACAAAGCCAAUUGUUUGAUGCAUUUUCGUAUUAAAUAGCCAACUGACUAAUUAUUCAGACUCAUUUAUUUUAUCCGGUCUACACCUGCUAACUAAUACACUCCAAAAUGAAGGAUAAUUAGUCGGCUUAUCUCUCUCUUCGUUCCUCGUUCUUCUUCCUCCAACCAAGGUGUUUCCUUCUACCCAACCAACCAUGGCAGCAAUCGGAGUGAUCCUGGAAGUCAUUCCAAAGCCAAUCGUCGCAGACCCUAGUCUCCUAUCCCUCUAUAUUUUUCUUUCAGAUCUUCGCGAGCCAAGAUUAUCCAGAAUGUUUGGGGAGACUUCAAAGAGAUUACCUAGUGCAGAGCAAUCCUUCUCUUUUUCCUUCCAUAUUCUCACCUUUCAUCUAUUCUUUUUUUCUAAUUUCUACAACAGAAUAAAAACCAGAAGAAAAAAAGAAGGCCAUGCCUUGCCUGCGCAAUUUUUUUUUUUAUAAAUUUCGUUCAAAUUUGUUUGAAAGUUCAAAAUCCUUGUUCAAUCCAUUUUCAAUUAGUGGGCAAGAGGGUAAGAUUUGUAUGGGAGGAUGGGAUUUAAUGCGUAGGGAGGAAGAUGGUGAAGAAAUGAAGUAGAGAAAUCUGGAUUCUUUUUUCUUACUUUCUUUUUUUUUUCUUUUUUUUCUGUUUUUCCUAAUUUUUUUUUUCAUUUUAACAUCAAUUAUUAAGUUAAAAUUAUUAUAGUUUGACAUAUUAUCCGAUGUAAAAAUUAAUUUGACACUGCAUCAAACAUUGAAUUAUUACUUAGAAUUAUCUGAUACAUAGAUUAGGAAGUUUGAUUAAAAUAGUUAAUACAGUUCGACGUACCAAAUGAUGUCUAAAAAGUGGUGGUAGUGGUUUCAACCGUCAAUUCAUACAUUUCCAAUCAGUUAAGUUUAUCAGUUUAUGUUUACUGUUUUUUUAAUUUAUAAGCAUUUAGUUGAUCUUCAUUACAGUUGCACAAUAGAGUUUUUCUUUAGAUUAAAAGAUGGCAAAGAGGUAAAUCUGGCUGGCCAUGAUGAGGUUUUGACGAGGCAUUUACUUUGGGUUGAUUAUACCCUUGUGUGUGUUAAUGAUCAUCAUAAAGAUGUGAAGCACUAACAUCUUGCAUUAACUCACCUUUUUAUCCUUAGUAGAUCUACUAGAUUACCUACCGUAGCAAAGGUUUUUGUGAGAUUUUUCUUUUGAUAUGUGCCCCCCUACUAUGAGACUCAUGUUAACAACUAUUUGUACAUGUCGAGAACUUAUGACAACAACCUCCAUCUCCUAAUCAUGAAGACCCGAUGCAACUACUUCUUAAGUUGUACACGAUAGAAUAUUGUAAUUAGUGUGUUUAUUUGGGAAUGUGAUUGUGUAAACUUAAACAAGAAUCCCAAUAGGAGUUGGAGAUCGAAUCCUCAUAGACCUAGUGUUACUUAUUAGGCAAGAAGAUAGGGCCAAAGAAGGUGAUAGCCCUGUAGAUUCGUUCCCAUGGUUCGAUCCUUCCUAGUAAAACGCGGCAUGUUCGAAUUCUGAUCGCUUUUUACCCGAGAAAGGGGGACCUCCCUUCUUUCCGCCCCUAUCCCUUUUUAUCAACUUUUGUGGAUCGCUCAUAAAUAAACAUACAAGAUCAAGAGAUAAACAUACAAUUCUCAUACAUCUCAGUCAUUCUCUCUCUCUCUCACCACUUUGAAAGUUAGCUUUACAACAACUAACUUUUUUUUUCCUUAAUGAGCUUUGAUCAAGAGAUAAAUAUUUUUACACUUCUUUUAUAACGUAUAUGGGUUCUGGAAUCUAAAUAGGGAAAAUUUAUAUGGAAAAAAAAUAUAAAAACUGGAAGAGAAAUAUCAUGAUAAAGAUUUAAGCAAUAGCUAUCGAUAUUAGCACAUCGUGGAAUUAUAAAGUAAUUUCAUUAUGAUAUAAUUAUUAAUUUUUCUGGGCUAAGAGGAUCGGCAAGAACGAAAAGAUGGAGCAAAUAGCUCAUAAUUAACUACAUCAUUUGCUUCCACGAUUGAAGAUUCUGUUAUUGAAGUGAAUUUAACUUACAAAGUUUUUUUGGUCUUUUAUGAAAGUGUUGAUCGGAAAAAGUUUAUAUGGUUUUCUUUUAUUAAUUAUGUGGAGGACCACAGGCAGCAAAAUAUGGCAUACAGGAAAAAAAGAGAGGAAGAAAGUGGGUUGUGGUCUUAUAAUUUUAGCAUAAUAUUAUUUUGAAUUUUUAUUACAAAUGAUCUCUGGAAUUUAUCUAGUUCAUCAAGAUGGUCCCUGAAUUUGAAAAUGGGUAAUGCUAGGGAGACUAAAUUUGGAUACUAAAUUUGCAAACCAAAUGAUGUGUCACUAAUAGGAAUAAGCACAUUUAUCAACAUUUAAAUAAUAAACCAAUUAUCAAUUUACAUAUUUUUUAGUUUUCAAAAUUUUGUCUUUAAAUUUAGUCUCCCUAACAUUACCCUUUGAAAAUCAAUCAAUAUGAUCCCUGAAAAUGGAUGAUGCAAAUCAAUGUCGUCCUUCUGUUUAAAUUCCGGUAAAAAUUAUGUUAGUGUGCUAACGUCGCACAUUGUAGGCCCCAUACUCCAAUACAUGGUGCCAUGUGAAUUAGAAAAAGUUCAUUUUUAAUUAAAAAAACAAGAAAUGUGUUUAAAAAUUAAAAAAAAAAUAUUCUAAAAAAAUAUAUCUCUAAUAUCUCAAAUUGUCGUCGUCGUCUUCGUCUUCGCACCCAGCCAAACCCAUAUUCUGUCUCCUUGACUUCAACCGGUAGUUUUUGGUACCAAUCAGUGAUUUGCUGCUUUACUUUGUCACCUCCAUAACCUUUCCAAAAACUAGAUUGCUUCGACUAACAUAGAAGACACAACUACAAAAACAAUCUUCUUCUCCAACACUACGACCACGACCACCCUUCUCCGAUCGCACCACGAACAAAUCCAUGGCCGACCGAGGAGGGGAUGCGGCACCAACAAUCAAAUCAGCGAAGUUGAGAGAAGAAGAAGAAGCAAAGCAGCGGCUCCACCGCCCGAGAAGCCGGAGCUGCACGAUUGUUGCGGCAAUGGAUGAUUCCGGUGUGUGUGGAAUGUGUAUUCUGAUAGGAUCAUACAUGGAAUAAGGAGGAAAUGCAGGGAAUUAACAUAAAGUAAAGAGACAAUUGCAGGAAAUUAACAUAGAGAGAAAGGGGGAUCGCGGGAAAUUAAAGAGUAAGGGAAAGAAGCAACUAUGUUCAUUCAUUCAUCCACCCCUUUGCGACGGUGGAGAGAUUGAAAUUCGUGUGCUCUAGCUUUUUGGCGACUCUUGACGGCCCCAACGAGAAAGGAUGGAGUCGAGUUUUUUCUUUUUCGUCUUUUACUUUUUAUUUUUUUAUUUAAAUAAAAACUUAAUUUUAAUCCACAUGUCAUAAAAAUAUUGGAUAGUGGGGGCUCACAAUGUGCCAUGUUAGCACACUAACACAAUUUUUAAACGAAAUGACGACAUUGAUUUGUACUACUCAUUUUCAGAGAUGGCAUUGAUCGAUUUUCAAAUUUAGGGACAAUCUUGAUGGAUUAGGUCAAUUUCAGAUACUAUUCAUGAUAAAAACCUUAUUAUUUUCUGAGCACAUAUUUUAUUUCAACCCAAAAGAUUGAGAGGAGACACGUGCCCCUUGGUCCUCUAUUAGCUUAGUCAUUGGCUAUGUAUCAUAAUCAAGGUAUUAAAUAUCGGUAAUAUCGGAAAUAUCAGUAGUCCGAAAACACGGAAAUAUCGAUGGAAAUAUCGGGAUGAUAUCGAUAUCGAUAAAAAUUACAUGAAAACCACGGAAAUUGUAAGAAAAACUUGGAAAUUUUUAUUGAAACUUUGCAGGAUGUUUAUUUAGUCAAUUAUCUAUUAGUUUAUCACAAAAAAUUGGAAGGAAAUGCAUUGCAUGAUGGAUUUAACAUUAUCAAGUUGAUUAUAUAGCGAGCUGACAAACAUUGUGAGUGUAGAAAAUAUGUAGUAAUUAAUGAAAGAAGUCUACACACCAUAAUCAUUUAUAUAUAAUGAAUUAGUACAAUAUUUUACACUUUAGUACCACAUAGAGUUCCUAUGAGGUUCAAAUUUUUCACUAUCUUCAUCAUCUCUAUGUGUAGAGUGAGUGUAUUGUGAAGAGUAGUUAUCAAAUGAUAAAUCCCCAAAAUAGUUUUGCAUGUAAUUGUUAACAUGCCACCCAUAUGGAUCCGAGAUUGGUUGAGGUUGUCCAUAAGCAAAAUCAUUUGAAGAUUGAGUCUGGGAUUGUUUCCAUGAGUCGCUCGAUUCCAUCCUAACAGGAAUGGGAUAUGAAGGGUAGGGAAAUGGUUGGUUAUGAGUAUAACCAUAGUUACUACUUCCCACUCCAACAAAGUCCGAAAUUCUAGAUAACGAGUCAUCUUCUUGACUUGACAAAAUCCCCUUGCCUCUUUCUCUACGAGUAUAGUCCUUUCCUAUGGCACCAAUUCCUGGUCCUGCCCGCCUACUGCCAUGGUCAUCAUCCUGUGUUGCAUGCGUGAUGUUUGCCUCACCAGUGAAGGGGGUCAUAAAUCCGGGAGGUGGUCCAUAAUAGUUUCCAUAUCCACCACUACUACCUCCAGCUCCACUACCUCCAGCUCCACUGUAUCCUUCAUCAUUCCCACCUCCAGUGGUAGGUGAGUCUCCUGAUCUUGUACUAGAGCUAUCAUUAGUAUCAGCACGAUGUUGUGGUUGUGUAGGAUUGGACGAAGGUGGAAUUCCAGUGUUUCUUGGUCUUGGGUGCAAAAGUUCUUCCAAAGAGUCAGCGCUGCUAGAUCCCACUUCCUCCUCUAAUACUCUUUCUACAUUUAUCCCUUCAUUACGUGCUUCUUCAGCAACUUUGGGAGCUGGGUUGCCUUCAUCAUCAUUUAAAUGAAGAGGUCUAAUCCAUUGAUAAAGUUGGUUACCCUCUGUAUCAUCAUCUUCACCAACAAUAUCAAACACAUCUAGUGGGUCACCACGGUUGACAUGAUCUAUUUCUGCUUCCUUAUCUCGAAUUUGAAGCUUCAUGUUGUAGUAGCAAUAAACUAAUUUUUCCAACCUACUAUGAGCCAACCUAUUUCUUUGCUUUGUGUGUAUGAGUGCAAAUGUGCUCCAAUUUCUUUCACAAGCAGAUGAGGAAGCUGUUUGUGAUAAUACUUUGAUUGCUAACUUUCUCAUAGUUGGUGCAUCGGUCCCAUACAUGAUCCACCAUUCAGCUACAAUGAAAAACAAUGUUGAUAAGCCUAAUAACUCGAACAAAUUCUAUUAUAAACUUAUAGUGAAAUAUGUUUACACUCACUAGGAGACAUUGUUGUUCGAGCAGCAAUUGAUGUUGGUUCUCCAAAAGUUCUUCUUGCAUCUUUAAACCAUGUUAGCUGAAUUCAAUAAAUCGUGUUAGUUUAAUCCAACAAAGUAAUUAUUAUAAUUUAAGUAAUUGUGUACCUCAUUUCCAAAUUGGCCAACUUCUGGUGAUGCAGGGUCCAAUUUAGAGUAUACAUUAUGUACAGCACGUAUAAGGGCACCAUCAUCUCCAACACCGGGUCUGUAUUGGUAUCGAGGAUUCAAAUAAUAUGAUGUUCAAAGAAACACAUACGCUAAUAAGAGAAAAAAUAUUUAUGCAACUAAAGAAAUGAAUUGCAAAUUAUGACAUAAUUUAUACCUGCUGCAUGCAAAUCGUGGUAUAAUGUUUUAUACCAUCGGUCAUCAAUUAUCUUUAUGGCCCACCUUGCACCAGGUUUUCUUUCCAAUUCCUCCUUCACUACACGCAUCAACUCAUAUAUUGCCCCCAUAGUAGGAUACACUUCUGUGUCAACAAUCCGUAAAACUUUGUAAAGAGGUUCUAACACUUGGCACACAUAUUCUGAUUGAGUCCAAAAAGCAUGAUCAAGCACUAUACUUUCCACCAUACGACCUGCAUUUGAGCGGCUCAAAUUGUGGUUGGCCCAAUCUUCACUAGUGAAUAAUUGCUUCAACCCUGCUUUCUUCUUAAGUAGGUUGUCUAAUGCAAUAUAGUUGGUGGCGAAUCGAGUGGUAGCUGGACGAAUAACUUCUCCUUUGCAAAAUUCACGCAUCUUUGCCAACAACCAACCGUGGUUGUAAAUAUAAUUUGUGAUCGUUCUAGCUCUUUUUACAACAUUAGCAAUAUUCUCUCUUCCCCAUUGCCUCAAACAUGAGAUCAAUACAAUGUGCUGCACAUGAUGUCCAAAACACAUUAUGAUGCUUCAUUAACUUUUUUCCAGCUUUAACAAAUGCAGAACCGUUGUCGGUCACGACUUGGACAACAUUAUGCUCUUCCACCUCCAUGAUUACAUCCCUCAAUAACUUGUAAAUAUACUUGUAGUUCUUUAUAUGGUCUGAAGCAUCAACGGACUUAAAAAAAAUUGUCUUUCCCUUGGAGUAUACCAUGAAGUUUAUGAUAGACAAUCUGGUUGGGCCAGUCCAUCCGUCACACAUGAUUGUGCAACCAUUAGUUUCCCACUUUGACCUCAACUUGUUAACAUACUCGUCAAUGUCUUUAUGCUCCAUUUCCAAAUAUUUGUUUCUUACCUCAUAGGGAGUGGGAGGUUGUACUCCAACACUGGCCUAUUGACAUCCCAAUACCAUAUUUUUGAAAUGAUGUGAUGAUGCCUUCUCAGCAAGGACAUUUUCAUAGAUAAAGAACUUGCUAAUUAGACGCCCCAUUCCCUCCUUCACAUUACCUCCCUUGAAAUAACUCCAAACACUCUUUUGACGUGCUUUGGAUGAGUUAUAUAAACUUGGGGCUAUUGGUGGUGUUGGUUGUAAUUCUCUAAGACUGCCUCCCCGUCUCAUUUGUGCACCAUCACUUGUCCUGGAACCUUGUCCUCUAUUAGGAAUUUUAUGAAGGUGUUCUCUUUCCCAUGCUGACUGUUUGGAGGCACGUAAUGCUUGUUUGAAAUUGCGCCGUUCUUCAGGUCCCAUGUCAUCAUCACAUUCGUCCUCAUCGUCAUCAUCAUCACUAUCAACCGCUUGGCCAAUGACUUCUUCUCGUAGCCCAGCUCGAAUAUUUUCCAUUCCAUAUGUUUUCUUUUCCUUCUGGUGUUUUUUAUUUUUUAAUAAUGUGGUGAUGAAUGCCUUCACUUCUGGGGGGACACUAUCGCAUCGUUGGACAUUAUAUCCUGGAUCUAAUCCACUAAGAUGGUGCUUAAGUCGUGUCACUCCGCCACUCUUCAUUACAUGACCACAAUAUUUGCAAAUUGUGCCAUGUUUGUUUCCGUCUAUUGGGUCUCCAUGUUCCCAAGCUGGAUCACGUUUAGACAUCUUAAACGUACCUGUAUUUAUUUUGCAUGGAAAUUAUGCAAUUAUUUUUUGGCCAAAAAAUAUAGUAGUGACGGUUAUAUAAGAGAACCUAAAUAAUAAAGUUAUUCUACAAAAGAAUUAAAUAGGAAGUAAACAAAAUGAUUGUAAGGUGUAGAAAUUAUAAAAAGAAUAUGGAAUAAUAAAACCUAAUAUUAAUGAAUAAUAACCAGUUUGAUAAUAAAAUAAUAAAUAACAUUAAACAUAUUAAAAUUAUCCUAGGGAAUAAUUAUACAACAUUACUUAAUUACUUCAAAAAAUUAACAUAUUAUUUGGUUCUUAGAUCACAUGCACAGGUCCACACAAAUUUUUUUGUAUAAUUAACCUCCUUAUAUAUGUACAUUAUCUAUAUAUCCAACUUAACUAGUGUUUGUAUUAUAUAUUAUUACAAAUUGUUAAGAAUUAAUAAAGUGUUCUAGACAAACUUCUUUCUUUUUUAGUGUUUUAAAACCUUUUUCUUUUUUUUUCUUUUUUUUUGAGAAAAGUGUUUUAAAACUUUUUAAAAUUGUUUAUUCUUUCCUUUUCUUUUCCUUGCCGUCUCUUUUAUAUUCUUUGAAAAUGGAGACUAAAAGGAUUGAUUAUGGACCCUUUUCGUGGGAGGUAUGUAGAAAUUGUUUAAUCAAAAUGGAUAAUCAGGAGCAAACGAGUUCGAACAAAGCCAUAAAGCAAAGUUAGUAAAUGUUUUGCCCCUCUUUUGGUGUUGGAAAGUUCAUUUACGAUAGUGUGAGGAUGUGAAAAUUAAAUAAUCUCAUGCAUGGGUCCGCACAAAUUUUUUUGUUGUUGUAUAAAUUACAAUAAUAUAAAUGUAAGUUUGUAAACUUACCUUAAAUGUAACAAAUCUGGAACUUUCGAUGUCGUACGUAGCAGCAGCAAAACCUCGACGAUCCUCUGCAGCUUGCCGUCUGUGAAUAAAUGAGAGAGAAAAGGUUUUGGAAAGGAUCUGAAAGGGCUAAGGGAAGAAGAAGAAACGGAAAUGUGUAAUAAAGGUUUUUCAAUUUUCGAAGGGUCAAAAAAUGUGUGAUGAUCUGAUACUCCACCUCUGGGACGCACACGGUUUUGAACUUUUGGCAGUGUUUUUUUUUUACACACACACAUGGGUUUGACAGUGAGAAACCACUCCACCAUACAUUUUUGUCUUGUCACUGUUUUUUUCACACACGGAUAUAUCUUUUUGUCUUAUCAAGAUUUUUUUUCACGGAAAAUGAUUCUCAUGUGAUUUGAAGGUGUAAGGCUACAUGCCUGUAUGGCAGUAUGGGCAUAUGACAGUUUGGUUCAGUUUCAGUGGGUUUUCUUUGGAUUUAUUUGCAAAAUUAUUGGCACACACACACUCACACUAACCUAACAUCUCACAGUCACAGGCACAUUAUUUUCACAUCUUUUCACCUCUGGGUGCAAAAUUAUUUUCACCUAUUUUCACCUCUGCAACACUCUGCAACACACACAUUCACCUAUUUUCACCUCUGCAACACUCUGCAACACACACACACACACACGAUGCAACACGCACACACGCACACGCAACAAGCACACACACACACACGCACACGCAACAAGCACACACGAACACGCACACACGCAUACCUUUCUGGAUCCUUCUCUCUCUCCCUCGGUCUCUCCGUCUCCUUCUCUCCCUCGGUCUCUCCGUCUCCUUCACACGCACACGCAACAAGCAGAGAACACAGAGCCUUCCGUCUCCGUCUCUCCCUCGGUCUCUCCGUCUCCUUCUCUCUCUCGGUCCGGUCUCUCCGUAGUCCGUCCAAUAUGUUGGGUCACCUCAUCACCUCAGACUCUCUCGAAUCUCGAUCUCGAUCUGGAUCCUUCCCUCAGUCUCUCCAUCCUUCUUCUUCUCCCUCAGUCUCUCGAACUCGAUCCUUCUCCGGUUCUCCCCCCCUCAUCUCUUCUCUGCAACUCCGCCGAGUUGCUUGGGGCCUUUUUACGGUCUCUCUACACCCUGGGGGACGUGAUUUUGCUGUUGUUCAGCUCGUACCCACCACCUGUGGUUUCCUCCUCCCUUUCUCACCUCCCGGCGGCGGCGACGACGACGAAUAUCGCGAUAUUUUAAAGAUAUUUUAAUUUUACUCAAAAAAAUAUCGGCCGAUCAAAAAAACAAUAUUAUCGGCGAAAUAUCGCCGAUAAUAUCGAUUUUUAAGACAUUGAUCAUAAUGCAUCUGUUACGAUGACGAGAGAUAUAGAUACAAACUGAUAUAUUCUUGACUACACAAGACAUGAUACAGUUAAAAAAAUAUUUAUCACCGACUACACAUCAAAUUUCUCUCGAACAAAAACAAUAGAAUAUAUGCAAUUGACGUGAAUUGUAUGGAAAACAACUGUGGGAUGUGGGGCCACUAUUUGAUUCAAUACAUGUGUGUAAAUUGCCCUUCAUUCAUAGACCAUAAAAACAUGUAAAAUGUUUUGGUGCAAUCAUUUUACAUGAGUCCACAACUUUGUGUUUUACUAGUUGCAGCAAAUUACCCUAAUGUUGAUGUCAAGUCCCUUUCAACAUUUACCACCAUGCACUAGAGUGCUUAAUUCACUUCCAUCAAUGAGAGAGAACCAAAUGUUAACAAAAAAAGAGAAAUACAAGUGUUUUUUGGUCUAAUUAUUUUUUUUUUCUUUUUAGAGUUAAUAAUUUUUGAGGCAAUAAGGUUAGCCGACGGUGAGAGUGGAUGUAGAGUGAUGGGUAAGAGUAUGCUAGAUCUAGAAUUCAGGAUCCUACAAUAUAACCAAAAUUAAAAUUUCGUAGAGGCAACAAGCUAGUUUAAAAUCUUUUGGUGGACGCCAGUAGGGAUGACCUAUGGGUACCCGUUUAGCUAAAUGGAUGUUCAUUUAAGUGUGAAAUAUGUGCUAAUUGUGGUGGCGAAUGGUAGUUUUUGUGCUCGUGAUAAUGAAAUAUAUAAUGCAUCACUGAAGGGAUCACACCACACAACUUGAAGAGUAAUGUUUAUAAAAUAAGUACUUACAAAAUUAUAAAAGUUUAGGUAAAAAUAAAAAGAAAGAUUUUUUCCCCUGGGAUGGGCGUAAAUUCUUAGGUGUAAUCGAGCUUAUCUCUCUCAUGUGAGAUUUUUUGGUGUAAAUUGGAUGUAAGGCCGCCAUGUGAAAUGAGAUCCGAAAUAUAGAAAAGGGAAUACUCUUUAAAAUAAAUAUAGAGAGAGAGAGAGAGAGAGAGAGAGAGAGAGAGAGAGAGGGGAAUAUAUUUUAGAAUCUCCAUCUCCACGCGUGGGGAAUGUAUGGAUGGCUCCAAAGCUGAUAGGGUCAUGGGCUUCAAGGCAUUGGCAUAAACCCAAUGAAAUAUAUCCAAUAAUCCAAAUGAUGGCAAUCAAGGAAAAAGAAACCCUAAAUAUAAUAUGACGUGCAAAACAAGUUCGAAAAUCUGCAAUAUUAUUACAUAGAUGUAUGAAAAAAAUAGCUAUAUUUGAUCCAAAAGUUGCACAGAAUCAAACAUGUUUUCUUUGGAUUUCCUCUUUCAAAAUAUCCAUCUUUCCAGCAGUUCUUACUCUCCCAUCAGGCCAUCAACAUUUCAAGACACUUUUACUGAAGCAUACGAAAUGCUUUUGGAUCAAAAUUGUCUCACUUUUCAUGGGAAGUUGAUAAUUUCUUCAUUGAAAAUUUCAUCGCUAAGAACCAUGCAUUUUGUUGUAGGUAUACACUACAAGUUAAAUUCUGGGAUUAGUUCUAAUAUACGACGAAUAUUAGAAAAGAAAACAUGAGUCUAACAUCUCUUUCCUUUUCUUUUGACUGGCCAAUGGAAAAAUGAACCCUGUAAGUUACUAGUGAGUUUCUAACGUACGUGUGUGUGGUUAGGCCAGUGUUCCAAACUUUAAAUAACAUAUUUAAUUUUGAAGAAUGAUUAAUUAAGUUCAUUAGAAUAUGCCAAUUUAUCUCACUUUAUGUAAUCACAGGAAAAUUCCUUGCAAAUUAAAAGCAAACUUCGUGGUAAUGUAUAUUUAAUUUCCUUAUAUUGUGAAAAAAACCUAACAUUCCCCCAGUACAGAAAGAAACAUGCAUGGCUAUAAAUAUGGGGUUAUCUAAGGUCUUGAAACCAUAAUCAACACAAAACAAAGAAGAUAUAAAAGAGGUUUGAGGGGUUCAUGUUGCAAGAGAGAUGGCAUGAGCUACGCUCAAGCUAGUAGCAUGUUCCAUCCUCUUGCGACAUGGAACCCUUUAUAUCUUUAUCCAGAUGUAGUAAUUUCUUUAUUUUAUUAAAGAAAAAUGCAGCAUUCUCCAAAUUCAUUGAGAGGAAGGGAGAGAGGGAGAGAUCUCUAGAGAUAUGAUGAAUUAAAAUUGGUUGGGAGAUUUAUGUUCGCAGGAGAGAUGGCACUAAUUGUGCUACAACUACAAGCAAUUGUUGCCAUCUUUCCCGUGACCAAAAAGCUCUACACAACUUCAACGACCUUGAUCUUUCUCUACGACAUUUUGGGGUUUUUUGAUUCCGACAUGAUUUUUAUCUUAUGGUUGUAGAUUAAUUAUCUGAAUAUAAUAUAUAUAUAUAUAUAGUAUCAGUUACUAAUUAAGCUUGACUUUGUCAAGAUAUGAUUGUUUUAGCUAGACAUCUACUGUACUGUCUCUUUCAUGCCUAAAUAUAAAGCUGCCUCAUGAGGAUUUUGGAGAAGAGAUCUAGCCAGCGGAUCGAAAAACAGUUCUAAAAGCGAGAUCGGAAUAUCAAAGCGCAGGUCGUAGGUGAGAUGGCUCCGAAUGCCAUGUAUAUUGGUAGUAGCUGCGGUUGCAGGCUAUAUAUAGCUAGCCAAUUCGGGGCAGCGAGUUUCAUCUCUCCUCGACUGAAGCCUCUAGCGUUUUGAUUACGCAGAAAAGAAACCCAUCUUUAAUUUUUUUUGCAUGCUUGGAGAAAGAGCAGGUGAAGUAAUAUUAUUUUACCCUUUUUUCUGUAUUUUGUUGUCUGUUUUGAGUUUUGGCGUCAUGCGUAUAUUAUUGUACUCUAAGAUUUUGUUUAAGAACUAAACCAAUCUUCUUGGAUCAAACCUUCAUUGGAUCAAUGGAUCAUGGUAAAUGCUUAUAUACAUGCUAGGGAUCGAAAAGACAGAAAGUAUGUGUGUAAUUUGUGCCGAAAAAUAGAAGAAAAAGCAAAAGUACCUACAAAAUGUUUUUCCAAGAUCCAAAUGCACAUCGGUUUUUCCUCUCCUUUUAGCUAGAUCUGGCCACCUGCGACGUCCACUUCUACACAGGCAAUGGAGAAACGCAUGGACUGGUUGGCGGGGGUUUUGAUCAUUAGCUAGGUAGUGAAGGACUCAAGCACAUGAUUUCCUCUGAGAAGGGUAUAUUUGUCCAGAUGAAGAGCUAAUUGGAGAUCUUCUGUUCACAAGGUUCACUGCAAGUUUAGUCAUUUAACAUGUGAUUGCAGUAUUAAUUAGAACUUAGUAAUCAUCGUAUGCCUGCAACUGGUGUUUGUAUCUUUUGCUAAAUAUUCAAGCAAGCUAUUGUUUGGAGAUAGCAGCAAAUUAGCCUUUUUAAUCUUAGUUUAAUUGAUUUGACUUUAAUUUUUCUAGGCCGGAAUAUUAUUGAACAAAUAUAUAUGUGUAUGUGUAUGUACAAGUUGUUAAACAAUGAUCUUUUCGUUCCGGUGCUGUGCUCCAUAUAAGAUUCAAUCAACUAAUGAUCCCUGAAGGCACAAUUUCUUGCAUAGCAUAUGAUUCAAUUAAAUAAUGAUCCGAUUUGAGGCAUCAAUGAUUUCAUGAUAUAUGCUUUUAGGAGUUCUUUUCGUAGGGUUGGGAGCUUCUCCCUCUAUCUAGCAUUCUAGGUGGUGGUGGCUUCAACUGUCAAUUCAUAAAUUUCCAAUCAGUUAAGUUCAUGUUUACUGUUUUUUUAUUUAUAAGCAUUUAACUGAUCUUCAUUGCAGCAGAAAGUUUUUUUUUUUUCUUUCUCAUUACAGUUGCAUGGUAGACUUUUCUUUAAAUUAAUAGAUGGUAAAGAGGUAAAUCUAGGUUGGUCAUGAUGAGGUUUUGACGAGGGAUAUAUUUUGGUUUGAUCAUACCCUUGAGUCUGUUAAUGAUCAUUCUAAAGAUGUGAGAGACUGACAUAUUACUGCAUUAACUCACUUUUUUUUACUUAGUCUAUUAGAUUACCCACCGUAGCUUUCGUUUUUGUGAGAUUUUUCUUUUGAUAUGCACCCCUAAUAUGAGACUCAUGUUAGCAACUAUUUGUACAUGCCGAGAACUGACGGCAACAACUAUCCUCUCCAAAUCAUGAGACUUGAUGCAACUACUUCUUAAGUUGUACACAAGAGAAUAUUGUAAUUAGUGCGUUUAUUUUGGAAUAUGAUUGUAUAAACUUAAUUAAAGGAGAAUCUGAAUAGGAUUUGGAUCAAAUCCUCAUAGAUUUUGUGUUACUUGUAAUGCAAGAAAAUCCAUCAUGAUUAGUAUAAAUAAAGGUUCAAGGCCAGAGAUGAACAUACAAUUCUCAUACAUCUGAGUCAUUCUCGCUCUCUCACCACUUUCAAAGUUAGUUCUACGUACAAUGAAUAACUUUUUUUUCAUAAUGAGCUUUGAUCACGAGACAAAUAUUUUUGUUGACGUAUAUGGGUUCUGGAAUCUAAAUAGGAAAACUUUAUAAGGAAAAAAAAUAUCAAAACUGGAAGAGAAACAUCAUGAUAAAGAGUUAAGCAAUAGCAAUUGAUACUAGCACAUCCUGGAAUUAUAAAGCAAUUUCAUUAUGAUCUAAUUAUUAAUUUUCUGGACUAAGAGGAUCGGCAAGAACAAAAAAAUGGAGCAAAGAGCUCAUGAAUUAACUACAUCAUUUGCUUCCACCAUUGAUUAUUCUGUUCUUCAAGUGAAAUUCACUCACAAGGUUUUUUCUGGCCUCUUAUGGAAGUGGUGAUGGGAAAAAAGUUUAUAAGGUUUUCUUUUAUUAAUUAUCUGGAGGACCAUGGCAUACAGGGAAAAAAAGGAAGAAAGAGGCUUGUGGUCUUAUAAUUUUAGCAUAAUAUUAUUUUAUGAGCACAUAUUUUAUUUCAACCCAAAAGACUGAGAGGAGACACGUGCCCCUUGGUCCUGGACUACAGAAAACAUGAUACAGUUAUAAAAAAGGAGUAAUUAGGUUUUCAUCCUUAUUUUUACUACUCUAUUGAUUAAAACCUUAUUACUUUUCAAUUUUUGAUCAAGGUCCUUUGUAUUAAUAAUAUCAUUAAUUAUUUCAAUAAUAAAAUAUUUUUUAUUUCUAAAUAUAUUCAUUUAAUAUUAAAAAUAUUACAAUUAGUAUAUUUAUAUUUAUGGCUAAAUUUUUUAUCAUAUAUUUUUAUUUUUAGUUUGUACCCAUUUUUAAUUUGCAACCCUUUUUUAAUUUGUACCAAUUUUCCUUUCAGUUUUAAUUUGUACCCAUAUAUUAAUUUCUUUUUGUGCCCAUAUUUUUUAAAGUUUUAUUUGUAUUGUACCCAUAUUUUUUUAUUUAUUUGUACCCAUUUUUAUUUUUGCUAAAUGUACCCAUUUUGAAGAAUGUAUCCAUGUUUUGAUACAAUAAUUUUUUGGUUAUUUUUUAUGAAUGUACCCAUGUUUACACACACACACACAAUAGUAUAUUUAUAUUUUAAUAUUUUUAAUCCCACAAAUUAUGGUUUUUUAUUUAAAAUCUCAUUACUAUAAAUGACACACCCCGUCCCGAAGGAGGGCAUGCUGGCCGUCACGUGAGAGUGACGUAACCAUUUGCACAGUACGGAAGCUUUAAGAUACAAUUUAUAAGUUGAUACACCCGAAGGUGAGUCCUAAUUUUGUCCAAUCUGUCAGAACACCGUCGAAUUCCUCGUAGUCACCACACCUUUGUGAUUCCUGAACCUGGAGGGGCGCAAAACCAAAAUUGAGUGGGUCAGUAAAACAAUUCUUUUCCAAAUCCAAACAUUUCUCAAAACGUUGUAACCCCUCUCCGUAAAACCUGUAUACUUUCCCAGAAAUGUAAAAUAUAAAUAUACAUAUAUAUUCUCAAAACUUCAUUUUUACUAUCUCAACAUUAUCUCUUUAUCAAUCAUGCCAUGCCAUGUCAUCUCAACAUUUCUCAUAUUAAUUAUGCCAUGCCACAUCAUCUCAACAGUAAUAAGGUAUGAAUGCAUCAACAUAAUCAUAUCAGGUGCAAGAAAGUAAUCAACCGUAGGCCCUCUAAUAGCCCUAUACGGUUGAACCUAGAGCUCAAAAUCUAUCAUUAUCACUCUACCGGAGUCACCUCUGUGACCCGUCCGGCCUUCUGCACACAAGUUACGCUCUAGUGCUUCUCAUAAAUCAUCUGUGCACAUAAUCUAAGGUCACCCACCAGUCGGAAUCUCACUAACACUCUCGCGACUGGUCUGUCGUACCCACUCCGCGUGGACUGUACGACUAGCAUCUACUUGGAUCCAAGGCGAGCGUGCGAUGCGGUGAAUACUAUAAGCACUAAACCAUGGUGCAGGAUUUGAGCUCAAUAUAUAUCAUCAUCAUCAUAACAGUAAUUAAAUACUCAUCUGUGCGUCCACCGCACCAUUUCAUACAUAUGCAUCAUAAAUCAAUUCUUACCUGUGCGUCCACCGCACCAAUUCAUACAUAUGCAUCAUAAAUCAAUUCUUACCUGUGCGUCCACCGCACCAAUUCAUACAUAUGCAUCAUAAAUCAAUUCUUACAUGUGCGUCCACCGCACCAAUUCAUACAUAUGCAUCAUAUAUUAAUUCAUGCAUGGCAUUUCAACUCACAUUUCUAUAUACUUUUCAUAUCAAUUCUAUGCAUGGUAUUUCACUUCCCGUUUUUCCACAUAACUCAUAUGCAUUUCAUUUUAAACAUAUUUUCAUUUCAAUUCAAUUUCUGGGAAACGUCAAGUAUAUAUAUAUACGGAAAACAAAACUGCCCACUCACCUGGAGUUCGUCCAACAACUCCCUAGCACCACACAUCAAGGCGUCAUGACGAUCGCCGCCUAGAAUAGUAAUCAAAUCCAGGCUCAGAAUUCAUAUCGAUAGAAUAACAUAACUUAUAUAAAAUACGUCACUACGUUGAUCGAUCCGGAAGAUCUGCCACUCAGAUUUUAAAAUCCAUAACUUCCAGAGGUCCACACUAUACCUCUAGGACAACAUCCUAAAAUUUCAUUACCAUCCAACGGUCGGAUCUCCGUCAAUUUCCAAAACUAAGUGACGGUUAACAUUUUAUAUUAUGGACUUACAAUUCCAAUUCCGGAAGAUCCGUAACUCGGAUUCCCAAUCCGUAAGUUCCAAUAAUCCUCAAAUAUUACGUAUUACAACGUAUCAAAUUUUGGUGACGAUCCAACGGUCGGAUCAUCAAUUCACAUUUUCACCUAAAUGUGAAAACUAUAAAACGUUAUUUGAACACCUAACCAACAAUCCUCAAUAACUUUCUCAUACGGUGUUCAAUUUAGGUAUAUGAAUAUACCACAGUGAUCUAAUCGACGUCACGGACGUCGACAUAUUUUUAAAAUAAUUUUAUUUUUAUUUUUUAUUUUUACUGUAGCACCUUCUUCUUCCUUGGGUCGCCGGACUGGUUUUUUCCGGCGGCCGUUUUUCCGGGCAGUUUUUCAAAUUGCCAUAACUUUGUCAUUUCUCAACGAAAUCAAGUGAUUCAAAAACGAAAGUUGUAGCCCUUGAAGAGACAAAGAGAAUGGUACCUUGAAAAACACCUAGUUCGCCGUGGUUUGGCCGGAAACUGCCUCGAAAGCCUCGGAGGUCGCCGGAAACUGGGUAUUUUUCAAAUGAGUAUAACUUCUUCAAUACUCAACGAAAUUGAGUGAAACAAAAAGGAAAGUUGUAUUACUUGACGAGACGAAGAGAUUGAUACCUACCUCGACUCCUAAAUCGCCGGGGAUUCGCCGGAAAACGCCUCGAAAGCUCCGGCCAAACUUUGAACUUGUCGAUCUCCGUGUUCUUACGUCCAAAAACUUCCAACGAAGCACUCUGAGCUUCCUUGGGACCUUACUAAACUCGCUGUGAUCUUGUUUUAGCCUAAAACGUAACCAAUUCAAAGCUCAUGAACAGUGUCAUCUCACGGCAACUUUAGAACUAGGGUUUUCGAAGUGAAACUCACCUGAAAUUGGUAUCCCCGUGCUCGUGAAGUCCCCAGGAUCACGAUGGUGGUCUUAAAUGGAACGUUGGUACAAGAUUGUGGUGGUUCUUGGUGGUUGCCGUGAGUUCGAGAGUAAGAGAGAGAAUGAGAGAGUUUUCAGAAAAGAAUAAGAGAGAGAGUGAAAAUCUGAAAUGGAAGAAGAAGAGAGAGAAGGAAAGGUUACGGAAAAUGGGGAGGAAAUUAGGGUAUAGGACCCUACCUAAAGUCCAACACAACAAUAGCUUAGAAAUUUUAGGUAAAACAAACACCAAAAUUACGCACCUUAAUCCCGUUUAAGGGCGUUUUUGUAAUUUCACGUCCUCGGAAUUAAAAAUUCCGGGACGGGCUGUGACAAU